AUUCCUAAUUAACCAGCCUUUACCAUAAGUGACAAACACUGUAAGUUGCAAGUUUGAUUUAAUGAAACACAGUAUGCCUGUUCCUGUAUAUUUGGAUGAGAAAUUAUGGAAAAGUGAAAGGACACCAGAGAAUUUCAACUCCUUUCCCCACCAAGCAACAUACACAUAUCUUCCCAAAGCUGAAAGCAUGAGAAAAGACUUGUUCUGGGCACAAAGUUGGAUCUUUUCAAGGAAGCAGGAGAAAGUUGAGGGCAUUUCCUAAUAGUAGCUAACAUUGUGCUAGGCAUUUUACAUAUAUUGUGGCACUUACUUCUCCCAAAAGCCCUGCCAAAGUAUCAAUAUUCACAUUUUACAAAUAAAGAGAUAGAAGCUCAAGAAGGUAUUUAGUCAUGUGCUUAUGAUCACGCAGCAGUAAGUGGUAGAGCCAGGUUUUGAAACCAAGGCUGUAUGAUUACAACAGUAAACAUUCUUCGUCCCCACGAUCGUAAUAAUUUGUCCUAAGCAGGCCGUUGUAGUAACAUUCAAUAUUAACGUUGGAGCACCCUAAGAAUCUGUCUUAGGGUUACUACCACAGACAGACAAAGAGAAUAUGAAUCUGAAGACCUUUCUUUAAAAACAACCUUAGGAGAGGCGUGUUCUGAACAUUCUGGCAUCAUUCCUGGAUUCAAAUCUCAGACCUAACCCUUGAAUUGAGAUUCUUCCCUAAUCCGCCUACCCACCACCAGGCUAGAUGAAGUGAGAGUCUUCUGUGUCUCCAAAGCCCCCAAAACAGAAAAUAAAAAUUAUCAUACCCCUAAUAGACCCAUUGUAUCGUCUGAGGUCUUUCUUUCAUACUGGGACUGUGCAUCCCAUGAGGGCAGGGUCUACCUUGUUUGAGUUUGCCUUGUUUGAAACUGAAUUCUCAGUGUCAAGCACAUCUGCAUAUAUUGUGCUUCCCUACCCAUUCUUCAGGAUCGACUGCCUAGGGCUUGCGCAACCUCCCAAGUUAAUUCCAAACCCAUUCCAAACUUUUGAUGGGAUGAAAUAAACCUUUAAUCAGGUUCAUCUAAACUACAAGCCCAGAACAAAUGGAACUGAAAAUCCAUCUACGACUUCUCUGACCUGCAGAGAUUAAAUAAACCCCAUUAUUCCAGGCCCAGCAGCCCCAGGGAACAGGCAUGAGUAACUCUGACCUGAACCACUGGUCAUACCCUCCCAUCCCCACCCCCCAAGAAAAGACUGGUUGACACAGGUGAACACACAAACAGGAUCAAAACAUUUUAUCAGGGUAAAACAACAAAACAGAACUGCUUUACAUCUCUCUCUCCCCUACUGCCCUAUUUUUUGGAGGGCAGAAGUAAGCUUUCCUGAAUCAGGAUUUGGCUUUCAAGGCCCACAGUUUUAGCAAAGUACAAACAUUUAAAGCAUUCCUUUCUUUAAUUUUUGUAAUUCUUUACUGUGGAAUAGCUCAGAAUGUCACUUCUGUUUUAAAUAACAGAAUUGAUAACUGAGCAAGGAAAUGUAAUUUGGAUUAUCAAAUUCUUGCUUUAAUAAAAAUUCCUUAAAUAGUGAAAAAA